UGGCAAACGGGUGAGUAAUAUGUGGGAAUCUGCCUUUUGGUUUGGAAUAACACGGGGAAACUUGUGCUAAUACCGAAUAAGCCCUUACGGGGAAAGUUUUAAUGCCGAAAGAUGAGCCCGCACUUGAUUAGCUAGUUGGUAAGGUAAAAGCUUACCAAGGCAACGAUCAAUAGCUGUUCUUAGAGGAAGACCAGCCACAUUGGGACUGAGACACGGCCCAGACUCCUACGGGAGGCAGCAGUGGGGAAUCUUGCACAAUGGGGGAAACCCUGAUGCAGCGAUGCCGCGUGAGUGAAGAAGGCCUUUGGGUUGUAAAACUCUUUCGUCGGGGAAGAAAAUGACUGUACCCGAAUAAGAAGGUCCGGCUAACUUCGUGCCAGCAGCCGCGGUAAUACGAAGGGACCUAGCGUAGUUCGGAAUUACUGGGCUUAAAGAGCUCGUAGGUGGUUAAAAAAGUUGAUGGUGAAAUCCCAAGGCUUAACCUUGGAACUGCCAUCAAAACUUUUUAGCUAGAGUGUGAUAGAGGUAAGUGGAAUUUCUAGUGUAGAGGUGAAAUUCGUAGAUAUUAGAAAGAACAUCAAAUGCGAAGGCAACUUACUGGGUCACUACUGACACUGAGGAGCGAAAGCAUGGGUAGCGAAGAGGAUUAG
rnacentral:rRNA from 1 species